AAACAAAGAGACUCAAGUUAUAGCUCUUAAAAAAACCUGUGUGUGUGAUAAUGUCAUAUAGUUAGUUCAAAAUUGCUUUGAUUUAUAGGGAUUUAAUUUAGUGACUUUACCAUUUGUUUUAAUGAUGUUUAUUUACAGUGCAAUCUAUUCUGCUUACCCGACUCAUGCAGACUUCUGUCCUGAUGUUUGGCUGUAGUCCUUCCAUCAUCCAGUCUUUUGCAACCGGUCUAUUUAUGGAGACCACCAUGAUCUAAUCUAUACAGAUCUAGUUGUCUCUUCUCCCACAAACUCCUCUUUCAGAUUUUGAGCGGAUCUCCUUCAUUCUGCAGCCAGCUCACCAGAACCUCUGGGUGCACCAGCUGUGGAUAUUACAGGCCAAACUUUGGACACCCUAGGACAACAUCCUUAGCACAGAUCUACCUAUAGCCCUCCAUCAUUCCCACAUCCAUCUUGCAACAGUUUCAUUAAGUGCAGUCCAUAACCAGUUCACAGUCUACACCUUGUCCAUUGCAAAUGUUAUGGAUUAUUCUAAUAAAGAUCUUUCUAUUAUUUUUUUUGAGACAGUUAUUAUGUACUCUGUUAUGUUGUGAAUAAAGUCUAAUUCUAUGAG